UCGGGCACAGGAGCGGCCGCUCAGCUGCUGCGGGCUGGGGCACAGCGGAGACAGCCCGGGGCCGGGGGCGGCUGCUCGCGGAGAAUUUCAGAGACAGGACACACCAUGGAGCCGUGCUGCCUCCUGGGCAUCCCGGUCCGAACAGCUCCUUGGCAUCCCAACACCAAACUUCGCUGUUUAAUGUUCACCUCUUCAGGCUUUGAAGCCAUGCUGGGGAGCUCACUCCGAUACCAUCAGAGAAGUGCCCAAGCUUUGCAGCCUCAUUCAGGCCAAAAAAGAAGCUUGGUGUCAGGCAAACCAGACUGAGGAAGAAUAUACUAGAGGAAAAUACUGUAUUGAUCAGGUUAACCUUAACAAUGUCAGGAGGAGUUAUAAGUAGCUCAAGAUUGUUCUACAAAAUUCUACAGCCUCAUGGACCACCUCACAAAUUGGUGUGAAAUGGAGGAAGGCUGAAGGGUAAGCACAGGGAACACAUGAGUAUCACAGAAAUUGUUUGCAGGCUUCCAGUGAUUUGUUGCCUCUCAGUAAUCUCACCUUCCCCAGUCAGUAGGAAUAAAACUAUUAGAUUAAGCUACAAGUGGGUUAAUACCCCUAGAUGUAAACUACAGUCAAAUAAUAAAGCAAUUUUACCAUGUAAAUAAAAAUAAUUAGUGGUAAACAUAGUCCUAAUUUUUUGUAGGUAAUAAAAACUUGCAUAUCAUGCUGUAAUGAAAAGUCAUAAAUCUGUGUCUUGCAAACAGCAGCUGUAUGAGUGGAGUGAUUAUUAUCUUGCCUGCGCUGCUUAUUUGACAGGGCAAAAUAUACACACUUAAAAAACCAGUAAUUGAAUAUCAGUUUCAGCUUUUUAAACUGAUGCAGGGAAGAUUACCUAUCCUACACAGAUGCUAAUUUGAGAACUGGUUGUUUUUCAUUACAGAAGCAAUGCGUAUUUUGUUGGGUGGUUCAGUUGAUUUUUAUGUUUGAGUUUUUUUUACUAAAACCCCCACAAGAUUAUUAGUACCAGGUUCUGAGACAUUUUUAGUAUUAAGAGGAAGGCAUCUUCCAGAGGCAGGAAAUUCAAAAUGAGAGUGGAAAUUCUGCCCUAGAGCUUUUUUCCAUAGGAGGGAGGUUCGUGGAGUUAUUCUGGCAGCCUUUUGGUUUGAGAAUAGCUCUGCCUUGGGAAUGAAGAGGUUUUCACAGAGGUCUGGAAGUGCACAGGCUGAGCUGUGCCAGCACUAGAGGGCACAGCCUCAGCUCUGCUGCACGUGGGCAUUGCAGCCCGACCAAAAAACCCUCAGCUGGGCUGGUUUGGGCUGUUUUUAUUCAUUCUACCCUUUAUCUAGAGGUUUUCUUUAGACAUCUGUCCAUUUUUAUCUUUGCAAUGUCUAAAUAAAAGUUUCCUGUACUGGUAUAUAAUUAGUCCAAUUUUUCCCUCUGGAUUUGUGCUUAUCCCUAGAAAGAACUUCAGUGGUGUAAGGAGAAAGGGAAAUCCUGCCCUUGUCAGUGUGAGCACAGACAGCUUAAAGGAUGUUUUCACAGAAUGGCAUUUCCUUGCACAUGGCCAUAGUAAUGUUCAUAAAAUGUUGGCCACCUUGGCAGAAAAAGGGUUUUGGGGGCAGAAAACAAAAUCAAAAGGAACCUGAAGGAGAAGGUCCAAACCUUGGAAUUUUAAUAUGCAUAAAAAACAGAGUAAGAUGACACCAUGAAUUUUCUCUAGCAGGAAUUAUGGUCACAGUUUUGAGGAGUACCUGACCAUUUCUUUUCUCAUUUUUAUUCCUAAGGUUGACUGCAUAACCCACUCGUACAAACCCAGCAUUAUUGCACCAGGGCUAAAUGCUGCAGCCAAAAGCCAGCCCUACCCUGCCACGCUGAGAGUGGUGCUUUAUUUUGGUAGCUGAACUGGAAGCAUUGACUGGAGAAGGGCUGUUAUUGUGCUGCCUGCUUUUCUUGCCUGCUUUGCAAUUGACAAGGCAUCAUUUAUCACGCUUUGCAUUCCAAUUUUUCUUUGCACGUUUUCCAGCUCAUCAUAACAUAAUUAUGUUUCUGUUUCCUUCAGCCAGGGGCUGAUACUUUCUUUUACUAAGACAACAGCUGCACUGCACAACCUUGAUGAAUCCCCAUAAGGGUGAAAAGAGUCUGUGGUGCUUGUUUCUGCCUUGGCAACCCAAAUGUUCAGGCUCUUUUUUGUGACAAAUGCUGCUCUAAAAUGCACCCAACCCUGAUGCUUUCAUAGCAUUUCUCAAAAUUGGGUUUUAUAUUGUAAAUUAGACUUUAAAUAUUAAACAUUCUGCCUGGUUUGUAAUUUUAAAGGCUUCCUUUGUUACAUUUCUGUUUGUGGUGUUUAUAGGUUAUAGACUCUGGAUGGAAUUUAGAAGGCUGUAGUCACUGAUGUGAAAUUUGUAUUUUGAAUGAAAUUGACUUUAUGUGUGACAAUAAGUACAAUCUGAAGGUCUGUUUUAUGUCCCUAAAGAGCAUCUUAAGGCAGCCUUCACAGUACAGGUGAAUCAUUUCCUUGAUUACAGCCUCCGUUGCUCCAGUCUCAUUGUGGCAUAAAGGUAAUUACAGAAACCCCAUCUCUGAAGGGCAUUAACUGCUAAUGAUGGGAAAAGACUCACAGUAUUUUUAUUAUCAGUUGUUGAGAUAUUUUAUUUAACUCUAAUGCAGUACUCUGAACCUGAGAUUUUAAAGUACUUCAGAAAGAAAGAAUGAUUUCUGUAUUUUACAUAGGAGAAACCAGUGCAGAGAAAAUCAGGGCUCAAUACUGGAGGCAAGCUGAGGGCAGAAUCCAUUCUUAAUGCUACUGGUUUUGCUUACCCAAUUAUACCAUUACUAAUUCCAAUUUCAUCUCAAAAUCUAUCCAUCAGAGCACUCUGUACAGUGGAAGCAGCAAUGUUUUCAGCCACUGAAUAUUGCCCAGGUUUGUAAAUAUAUGGGAUAUUGUGGCCUGGACAAUACCACAGCCUGAACAAUUGCAUUAUUCAGGGCAACAUUUUCCCUACAGUUUUGCUUUCUAUCAUAUUGUUCUGGUGCUAUUACUCCUGCCACUAUCAUUUGAAGAUUGUUUGUAUUUAUACAUAAAAAUUACAAUAAAUCUGUAAGUGGAGACAAGA